rfam:Homo sapiens chromosome X, GRCh38 reference primary assembly.
GCUGGGCGUAGUGGUGCAUGCCUGUAAUCCCAGCUACUCCGGAGGCUGAGGCAGGAGACUCGCUUGAACCUGAGAGGUGGAGAUUGCAGUGAGUGAGCUGAGAUCAUGCCACUGCACUCCAGCUUGGGUGACAGAGUGAGACUCUGUCUCAA